AUGAGUCAGUUAUGCUGGAACUGUCGAGGCUUGGGGUCGGACUCGACGGUUGGCGAGCUUCGCUGGUUAGUGAAGUUUCACCGCCCCACCCUCCUCUUUCUCUCUGAGACGAAGAUGAGGGAUUCACGUGUUAGAAACUUUAUGUGGUCACUAGGAUUUACCGGGUGUUUGGCUGUCAAUUCCGACGGCCUGAGUGCUGGUUUGGCUCUAUUUUGGACGGCGUCU
rnacentral:rRNA from 1 species